rnacentral:lncRNA from 1 species
GAUUAUAACUUUAUCAUGUCCAUGUGCAGAGCUGUCCAACAACUUAAUUAAUGAGUGUGAACGCGAGAAAAGAAAGUUUUUAUACAGUUAUUUUAUAAAUAAUAUUAAGAAAUAUCUUUAGCCCAUCUAUUAUAUAUAAUUCCUGACGUUUUAAUAUCUUAUCCUCGCGCACCUUCGUCUCGCCGAUCAUGUCACCAACAACACUUCACUAUUUUUCUUCUUUCUUCCUUCUUUUCAUAAUUCUCUCGCACCACUCCAACGCUGACGUUGGCACCUCUUCCCGUUACUCCCCUCCAUAUUUACGUAAGUACCUUCAUCACCAAAAAUAUAUAUAUGUAAAUAUCUCAAACUAUAAACUCAUCAAUUAAUUCUUAAUUAUAUAUCUAUCAUAUUAUAUAGCCUCGGGGUGUUACGGCAACGAAGCCACGCAGUUUCCGUCGAGUAAUCUUUUUGCGGCGGCCGGAGAUGGAAUCUGGGACAAUGGAGCGGCGUGUGGGAGGCAGUACCUUGUGAGAUGUAUAAGUGCAGAGGAACCUAUGACUUGCAUUCCCGACCAGAGUAUUCAGAUUAAGAUUGUUGAUUACGCGGCAUCUGCGGUGUCGCCGCCCUCCACCGCCGGCACAACCAU